rnacentral:rRNA from 1 species
UACGUAGGGUGCGAGCGCUAAUCGGAAUUACUGGGCGUAAAGCGCACGUAGGCGGCUUUCUAAGUCGGGGGUGAAAUCCUGGAGCUCAACUCCAGAACUGCCUUUGAUACUGACGAUCUCGAGUCCGGGAGAGGUGAGUGGAACUGCGAGUGUAGAGGUGAAAUUCGUAGAUAUUCGCAAGAACACCAGUGGCGAAGGCGGCUCACUGGCCCGGUACUGACGCUGAGGUGCGAAAGCGUGGGGAGCAAACAGG